AGCUAGAGUUUGAUCAUGGCUCAGAGCGAACGCUGGCGGCAGGCUUAACACAUGCAAGUCGAGCGGAUGUAGCAAUACAUCAGCGGCAGACGGGUGAGUAACACGUGGGAACGUACCUUUUGGUUCGGAACAACACAGGGAAACUUGUGCUAAUACCGGAUAAGCCCUUACGGGGAAAGAUUUAUCGCCGAAAGAUCAGCCCGCGUUGGAUUAGCUUGUUGGUGAGGUAAUGGCUCACCAAGGCGACGAUCCAUAGCUGGUUUGAGAGAACGAUCAGCCACACUGGGACUGAGACACGGCCCAGACUCCUACGGGAGGCAGCAGUUGGGAAUCUUGGACAAUGGGCGAAAGCCUGAUCCAGCCAUGCCGCGUGAGUGAUGAAGGCCUUCGGGUUGUAAAGCUCUUUUGCCAGGGACGAUAAUGACUGUACCUGGAGAAUAAGCCCCGGCUAACUUCGUGCCAGCAGCCGCGGUACGCC
rnacentral:rRNA from 1 species